rnacentral:lncRNA from 1 species
CUGACAAUAAACAGAUGACCCAACGUUGCCUAAGUUAGAACAUGCACCGCUGCUGCCCAGGCUCCAAUAAGGGCAGGGUUGGCGCGUGUGGGCUUCUCUAAAGGGAAACAUGGCCAGUAAUUUUAAAAUCCAUCCCCUCUUCAAUGAUAGCAAAUAUAAAAGCAACGGGCUGCAAGGUACACGUAUGUUUAAUGAAAAAUGGAGGGACGUGCUUAAAAACAUGGGUACUAGCCGAUAAAAUGAGUCAAUUAAGACUAUUGCCACCUGCAGUAAAAUGGACCUCACAUUUCUCUUGACUACAGUUUUGUCAGAUCUAAAAUGAGGGUAGCCUUAAGUGAUUUCCAAAUUUCUUUCCAGGUCACAUUAGAUGAAUCUGUACCUUGGGACCACCACACCGUUAAUAUAUAAGACUGGAUUACAAUUAAAGGAUGAGGAAGCUUUCUCAAAGGGUGCUUUGUAUGUGUUUACUAGUUGUGCAAACCAUGAACCUCGGUAAUGUGGUUAAUAGACCAUGAAAAGGAUGUGGUUUCUGCCCUCGGCUUAAAACAAAGACAGCAAUAAGACUAAAAGUACUUCAGGGCACAUGAGAGCAAAUUUCAAUCAAUACUUAUAGGAGAGGGAAGUUAAUUUUGCCUGAAGAGAAGAUCUGGCCUGCAUUAUGCAUUAAUUAGUAUUAGCUAAAAACUAUGUGGACCUAGCCCUUAUCAUUAAAAUAAAACACUCAAGGGUUUACAAACUAUUGAAAUUUAAGAAAAUGUCUUUGCAAUGAAUGCUACUAAGACUCACUGUUAUUAAGUACAUACAUAUCAAUUCCAUAAACUCAAUGGAAAACAUUUUACUGUGCUUGUAAAAAGAAGUGACUCAUAAACAGGAAUUCUGUCAUUUUAUCACUUUCAUGAUAGAAUGAUGUGUAGAAUUUGUUUUACAAUGCUCCAGAAAUAAAAUGUAGGGAAUGGAAAGAAGAUAGGUGAAAGAAAAGUGGUGCAACAUCAGUCAGUGUUGAAGCUAAGUUCAUUUUGCUACUUUACCUACUCAUGCAUAUGUUGGAAAAUUUACAAAAUGAAAAGCUAAAAGGAGAGAGAGCAUCUUCAGCAUGAAAGACAGCCAUUACCAAAGCAUUUCCUAUCUUUAACAAAAACUGAAGUCUUAGCCUUCAGACUAAGGAUGGUAGGAAGAAAGUAGCAAGGAAGUAUGGGACUGACCUUGCCGUAAGGAGUCACAGACCAGGGUAAGGGACCUGUUGCUGUCAGACCAUGAUUGGCAUCUUAGCCCUGACACUUCCUAGCCAUGUGAUUUGGGGCUAAAACUAGUCCACACCAAAGUUCUCUUAAAAUGCGGGUAGUAAUAGAACCUGCUCCAAAAGGUGGCUGUGAAGAUUAUAUGAGAUAAGAAUAAUGCCUAGCACAUAUUCUAACUCAAAAAGCUUACAUAUUAGGUUGGUGCAAACAUAAUUGUGGUUUUUGCCACAAUAUUGCCAACACUAAUAUUAUUAUUUGGAGGCAACAAUACGCUGUAAUGUCUAUUUUUCUUAUACUAAAGUUAACUUCACUUAGCAUGAUACACAAUGCCUCUCACAGCCCAGCUUCAGUUUUGCCCACUUUACAUUCCACUAUUCCCAGAGUUCCCUGUGUCCUAGUAACACAAAGCUACUCCCCAUUCCCAAAGCACAUUGUGUACUUCAGUGUCUCCUUGCUCCUUCAUUCUGAUUAGAACACUCUUCUCCAGUUGUCCAGUGAAUCAUUCAGUCUCUGUCAUGUAGUCCACACUGUACCUCUGAUAGCUCAUGCAGAAUGAGCUGCUGUCUCUUCUCAGAUCCAAUUGCUCUUCUGUAUAACUGAUAUGGUUUGGCUCUGUGUCCCCAUCCAAAUCACAUUUUGUAGCUCCCCUAAUUCCCACGUGUUGUGGGAGGGACCCCAUGGGAGAUAAUUGAAUCAUGGGGGCGGGUCUUUCCCAUGUUGUUCUCGUGAUAGUGAAUAAGUCUCAUGAGAUCUGAUGGUUUUAAAAAUGGUAAUUUCCCUGCACAAGCUGUCUCUCUUUUGGCCUGCUGCCAUCCGCGUAAGACAUGACUUACUCCUCCGUGCCUUCCACCAUGAUUGUGAGGCUUCCCCAGCCAUGAGGAACUAAUACCCAUCCCAUAGAUGUACUUGGGAUAGACAGCUUCUGGCACUCCUCCCAAGAUCUCUCCCUCCUGGUUACAAAAACCUGAGACUUCCAUUUUGCUGGAAACUUCUUUUCCUCUUGCACACUCACUCUGCGACUCUGUGUGGAGAGCUCCAUGUGACAAGGGAGGUCUGCAGCCUAAGCAACUGAGACCUCAGCCCAACAGCCCUCAAAGAACUGGAUCUUCAAACAACCACAUGAGUGACCUAGAAGCAAAUCUGUCACCAGUGCUCUUGAGACGGGCUGAAGUAUUUAAUCACCGGCACAAAAUGUCCCAGUGUUCUGUUCUCCUGCUGUGGAAAUUUUAGAGAAAAGAUCAUGAUCUAAGAGUCUACAAGACCAGAGCAGCCUGAAUUGCUGAGCUGCCUGGUGGAGAAUAGCAGCAUUGGGUGGUUCCCAGGAUUCUUAAAAGGACUUUACAAAGGCCUGGCCUAAUCACUUAAGAGCUCUUAAGGAGUGAAUGGGCUCUUCCUGAAAAAAGAGCUUCUGCUAACCCUGAAAAGCAAGCAACAACCCUGUGAACUGCUAUGGAGAGAGAUGGCCUCUAACAGCUGAGGACCUCAGUCCUACAACCACAAGAAACUGAUUUCUGCCAACAACAUGAAUGAACUUGGAAAAGGCCCCUGAGCUCCAGAUGAGAACACCCAGGUCAACUCAGGUCAUGAGCAGAGAACCCUGUUAUAUUCUCCUUGGCUUGUGAUCCAUAAACAAUGAGAUUAUAAAUGUGUGGUUUUUAAGCCAUUAGGUUUGUGGUAACUUGUUACACAAGCCUCUUUUAGAUUCUUUACAUACACAAAUAUAUUCUAAACGAAUAAUGAGUCUUCCUUUCCCAUCUUUAUACCAUUUACUUCUUAUUCUUCCCUUACCGCUUUAAGACCUCUAGUAUAAAGUUGACUAGAAAAGGUGGUAGUGGCAUUAUUGUGUAGUUCUUUAUAUCAAAGGGAAGAUUUUCAAUGUUUUCAUGUUAAGUAUGACAUUUACUGUAGGUUUUUCAUAGAUGCUCUUUAAUCAGUUUAAGCAAUUCUUGUCUAUCCCUAGAAUUAUUGUCAGGAAUAAAUGUUGACUUUUAUCGAACACUGUUUCUGCACCUUUUAAAAAUAUCAUAUUUUUUCCUUCAAAUGGUUACUGUGUUGAAUUAUAUUAGCAGACAUUCUAAUGUUAAAGUAACCUAUCAUUCCAGAGAAAAGGAGGUGAGAAUAGCAGUUUAGUUAUGAUGCUGUAUCCCUUUUAUAAAUUCUUGGAUGCAAUUUGCCAAUAUUUGGUCUAAGAUUUUUGCAUUAUGUUAAUGACUGGAAAUGAGUCUUAAUUUUCCUUUAUUUUUCUGGCUUCUUUGUGUUUCGAUAUCAAGAAUAUGCAAGUCUCAUGCAAUAAAUUCUAUGGAAGAGUUGGUUAAGAUUGCAUUUUUUUCCUUACAUGUCUUAUAGAAAUGAGUGGUAAAAUAUCUGAAAAUGGAGGACUACUGAAGAAUUGGAUAUGGUUUCUUCAGGUUGUAAAGAAAAAUAUGUUAAGUAUGCUAACACUUAGAAACACUCAAAUAUAGCAAGCUAAAAUUGUUUAAUCAAUUAACCACUUUUGUGGAAACAUAUCUGCAGAAAUGGAAUGAGACUAUAAAUUAGUGUUUCCUGAACAUAUUUCACUAUCAAACACUUCUUCAAUUUCAGUUUGUAAAAUAAAGUGUAUUUUGUUUAUUUAAAACUUUCUUCUUUCAUUCAAAGAUCCAAGACAAAGAAUGUGUUUAGUCUAGCGUUUUAUAAACAUGAAAUCCUGAAUAUGACAAAUGCAUGCUGAAUUUCAAUAUUUAAUCGGCAUACAUCAGUUUGUUAAUAAAUGUUCCUUAUGUAUUAAAGCUCAGAUUUUGCAUUUAUGAUGCAUGAAGAAUUAUAAAUCAUGUGGUUUCAUCCCGUUGCAAGAAUACAAUGCCACACUCAAAAGUAAUCUCAAAAUACUUGUAUUUCUCAAGUCUUUUGAAAGGG